rnacentral:rRNA from 1 species
AGAGCGAACGCUGGCGGCAGGCCUAACACAUGCAAGUCGAGCGCCCCGCAAGGGGAGCGGCAGACGGGAGAGUAACACGUGGGAACGUACCCUUUGGUUCGGAACAACACAGGGAAACUUGUGCUAAUACCGGAUAAGCCCUUACGGGGAAAGAUUUAUUGCCAAAGGAUCGGCCCGCGUCUGAUUAGCUUGUUGGUGAGGUAACGGCUCACCAAGGCUACGAUCAGUAGCUGGUCUGAGAGGAUGAUCAGCCUCACUGGGACUGAGACACGGCCCAGACUCCUACGGGAGGCAGCAGUGGGGAAUAUUGGACAAUGGGCGCAAGCCUGAUCCAGCCAUGCCGCGUGGAUGAUGAAGGCCCUAGGGUUGUAAAGUCCUUUCGACGGGGAAGAUAAUGACGGUACCGUAGAAGAGCCCCGGCUAACUCGUGCCAGCAGCCGC